rnacentral:rRNA from 1 species
GUGUCAGCCGCCGCGGUAAUACGGAGGGUGCGAGCGUUGUUCGGAAUUACUGGGCGUAAAGCGCGUGUAGGCGGCCUUCUAAGUCUGGUGUGAAAGCCCGGGGCUCAACCCCGGAAGUGCAUUGGAUACUGGGAGGCUGGAGUACCGGAGAGGAGGGUGGAAUUCCUGGUGUAGCGGUGAAAUGCGUAGAUAUCAGGAGGAACACCGGUGGCGAAGGCGGCCCUCUGGACGGAUACUGACGCUGAGACGCGAAAGCGUGGGGAGCAAACAGGAUUAGAUACCCCGGUAGUCC